rnacentral:rRNA from 1 species
AUGGCUAGGGUGCUGGAGCCUCUCGUCGUUGGAAAGGUCAUCGGGGAGGUCAUCGACAACUUUAACCCCACAGUGAAGAUGACGGUGACCUACAGCUCCAACAAGCAGGUGUUCAAUGGCCACGAGUUCUUCCCGUCGGCGGUCGUGUCCAAGCCACGCAUUGAGGUCCAGGGCGGCGACAUGAGAUCCUUCUUCACUCUGGUCAUGACGGACCCAGAUGUGCCAGGGCCUAGUGAUCCAUACCUGAGGGAGCAUCUCCACUGGAUCGUCAAUGAUAUUCCUGGCACCACAGAUGCUUCUUUUGGAAGGGAGGUGGUGAGCUACGAGAGCCCCAAGCCCAACAUUGGCAUUCACAGGUUCACCUUCGUGCUGUUCCAACAGAAGAAGCGGCAGUCCAUGAACCCUCCCUCCACCAGGGACUACUUCAACACGCGCCGCUUCGCUGACGAGAACGACCUUGGCCUCCCGGUCGCUGCCGUCUACUUCAACGCGCAGCGGGAGACAGCGGCACGCCGCCGCUGA